GACGAACGCUGGCGGCGUGCCUAAUACAUGCAAGUAGAACGCUGAAGGAGGAGCUUGCUUCUCUGGAUGAGUUGCGAACGGGUGAGUAACGCGUAGGUAACCUGCCUGGUAGCGGGGGAUAACUAUUGGAAACGAUAGCUAAUACCGCAUAAUAUUGACUAUUGCAUGAUAGUCAGUUGAAAGGUGCAACUGCACCACUACCAGAUGGACCUGCGUUGUAUUAGCUAGUUGGGGGGGUAACGGCUCACCAAGGCGACGAUACAUAGCCGACCUGAGAGGGGGAUCGGCCACACUGGGACUGAGACCCGGCCCAGACUCCUACGGGAGGCAGCAGUAGGGAAUCUUCGGCAAUGGACGGAAGUCUGACCGAGCAACGCCGCGUGAGUGAAGAAGGUUUUCGGAUCGUAAAGCUCUGUUGUAAGAGAAGAACGAGUGUGAGAGUGGAAAGCUCACACUGUGACGGUAUCUUACCAGAAAGGGACGGCUAACUACGUG
rnacentral:rRNA from 1 species